rnacentral:rRNA from 1 species
CCUACGGGUGGCAGCAGUCGAGAAUUUUUCUCAAUGGGCGCAAGCCUGAAGGAGCGACGCCGCGUGGGGGAUGAAGGGUUUCGAUCCGUAAACCCCUGUCAUUUGUGAACAAUGGUCACCGGUGAACAGCCGGUGACUUGAUAGUAAUGAAAGAGGAAGGGACGGCUAACUCUGUGCCAGCAGCCGCGGUAAUACAGAGGUCCCGAGCGUUGUUCGGAUUCACUGGGCGUAAAGGGUGCGUAGGUGGCAUUCCAAGUUUGAUGUGAAAGCUUCGGGCUCAACCCGGAAAUGGCAUUGAAUACUGGAGCGCUGGAGGUUUGGAGGGGGGACUGGAAUUCUCGGUGUAGCAGUGAAAUGCGUAGAUAUCGAGAGGAACACCAGUGGCGAAGGCGAGUCCCUGGACAACACCUGACACUGAGGCACGAAAGCUCGGGGAGCAA